rnacentral:tRNA from 1 species
GCCAGUGUGGUGUAAUGGUUUGAGUGCUGGACUAUUACUCUGGAGAUCAGGGUUCAAAUCCCUACAUGAUG